AGGUAUACAAAGGAAUGUUACAACAAAAAGCUAGGGUUUGUUCUGCGCUCUCGUAGGCGAUUUUGGAGGCGAUUCUCGUGCUUCAAAUCGAAGACGCUUUCGUACACAGUAAACACCGUCGGGCUUCAUAUCGGCGUUCUGUCACUCCGGCGAGUUCUUUGCGAAGGGGACGAGCUCUUUCUUCAUCGUGUCUCUCUCCACUUUCGGAUUCUCUUAUCUCUGUCCAAAUUCUCCCCAAGCUCUCUCUCUCUCUAUUUCCUCAUCUCUCUCACGGAGGUUACACUUGGCUGACAUGGCAUCACAAGCCAGAAGAAGAGACGCUCGCUUCACCUGAAGCUGUGGAAUCAUUCAUGGCGGAUAAGUUAUCUACGUCAAUUGGCAUGGUGAUGAAAUUUGUUCUAGGGUUUUUUUUUGGGUGGCCAAAAAGAACGAAGUCUAGGGCAUUUGUUUUCUCAAAGAAUUCGAAGAGACUAUUGAGAUUAAAUUUCUACUUUCUAGGAUUCCAAUAAAGUUUUCUCUAACAUCCAGUCAAACUUGCUUUUCUCUUCACACCUUCCAGUUUCUUACCAAAGCCCAGAUUAACAAACAAUCUAAUUAACAAAACCCACGACUUAAAAUCAGCUCUGAGCUCGAAUAAUGAUGAAGACCCAGAACAAAUCACCUGUAAUACAGGUAAAUUGAUUGCCGGCGAACACAGUAAAAUCCAAUAUCGAAGUUAAUGGAAUCCUUUUCACUCUAUAGAAACAUAACCAAACAAAUAAAUUAGAGAUUUUGCCCAAAUAUGUGAAUUUUCGGACAUUCAAUUGUACUUGAUAACAACUAUCCAAAAACAAUUUCAAACGUUUCAACGAAAAUGAUUGAAGUAACGAAUCGAUUCAAACGCCGAAGAUCACAAUAGGAACAGCUCUCUAUGUCGACGGCUAAAAAUAAAUAAAAAAUUACUAGAGCGACAAAAAUAGAGUUUUGCAAAGUCGUCUCUAUUAGAACCAGCGCCGGCGACGACAUGGGUAUCGAUAAAGGAUCUGAAAAUUACAAGGAUGGGUCUCGUCUCUGUCUUCGGCAACGACCUUGAUGCUGCGACUAGGUCAGACAGUUCAAGGCGACGGCUUUUUUGGUAGUUAUGGCAGCAACGGUGGGUUUGGUGGGUGUGGAGGGAAAAAAUCCCCUCCAAUAAGAAUAUUCCACGUUAUCACAUAUGUAAAUCUAUCUGCCAAAGGCCCGUCAUGCUCAAGCCCAAAUUGAGUGUAUUUUUAGCCCAAGACCACUGUUAUUUGUCUUCCAACCUCCAUCAAGGCCGAAUCAAGAGGUUAUCAGUCUCACUUUUUAAUAUUUAACAUUCGGCCCGUUAUUCAAGCCCAGCCGGAUCAAAGUGUGUUCAGCCCAGUUAUUCAAGAAUGCACAAGUCCUACCAGUUGAAGGAUUUACCAUAGAAGGAAAAUUCUGAGAUAGGAAGUUCUGUACAAGGCAAGUUCUAUGCAUGGAAAAUUAGACAAUGGAAAGAACUCUAUUAGUAAAGAAUGUUUAUAUAGAAAGAAUUGGAGGACAAGCAACGCGAGUCUUACCAUAAUUCUACAAUCUUUUGUAUAUAAAUAGAGGCUUAGACCUCCAAUAAAGAGAUCAAGCAAUUCUACGCUUCUCUAUAUACUGUUCUUGUUUAUUUUUACUGUUUGUUGAGUGAGUUGUUUUAUUUCUCUUAAUCAUUAUUGGUUGGGUGAAAUUUUGCACCUACACUUUGGCGCCGUCUGUGGGAAUCGUAUAGAAAUAUAUCCCCACCAAAGUUACGACACUUCAAAUUAAAAUCUCCAAAUCCAGCAACGUGACUUGAAAUUAAAAUCUUCAAGUCCAGGAUUUGAACCCAAGUCCUCUCCAACAACGACUCUCAUGGCCAAAAGUCACGUUGAUGAAUACGCUUUCGGACAAUAAUGCGUACCAAAGCUGAUGAAUGGAAAACCCAAGAGGCAUCACAUGUGUUUGCCCUGUAAUUAGAUGUCCAUCGGAGUCCACAAAGCCUUAAGUUAAUCAGAUAAGUGUUUUGAUUUUGAUUUCCUGUUAAUUUUGAUUAUAUACAUAUAAUCUUGAGCAACAAAUCCAUGCAUAAUUAUUGUUCAUACUAAUCUGAACUCAAGAUUAUUAAGUCGAGUUGAUCUUCAGAACUCGAGUCUGUAACUUGACCAUCAGGUUAAUAGAAAAAAUAAUUUUGAAAAAAAAAAAAAAAAUAAGUUCAUGUUUUUGAAGAAACUUGAAUUAGCUGGAACACUUUUUCCGGCAAUUUCUUGCUGCUUUUGGCCCCAAUUCCUGGGAAUCCCAACUUAUAAAACUCUGCAAAGAAUUAGAAAAUCGAUUAGGGUUGGGAAGAAUUGAUAUAACUGAAAUUCUUGGCGAUUUGCCUAAAAUUCAGAAGCUUACUUUCUAUGCAUUUUUUGUGAAGUUUGUGGCAGCAAUGUUUGAUUAUUUGACAGCACUAGACUGCGUGACAUGACAUUGGAUCAACUUCGAAUUAUGCUAAUGAUAAGUUUAACAUUACAAGAGAAUUGAUGUGUUUCCGAGCAUCAUCAAGAGCAGAAACAAUGUGGGUGGACUGAAGAGCCGAUUAAUUGGCAAUCAUGAGGAGAUCAUACACUCGGCAAUGGACCCCAAAUCCAAAGUCGGAGACAUGCUCGAUCUCUGAGAUGGAGUCGCUGGCGGUCCGGAUCUCACGUCAGGUGUGUCAUCGUUCUCAUAAUCGGACGUGCUGGAACGGGUGGAGGCAAGGGUGGAUCGGGCAGAGACCGAUUCGGGAUCCAAAUGAACUCGAUUCAUGGAUAAGAUCUGAUAAAACUCCUUCUGAAGUCAUUUCAUAACGAUUUGUAUAAGGUUUUAGGCUCGCACAAGCAUGUCGAAGGUUGAGAUCGGCCAAUUUUCAUAACAACCCCCAGUUGUACAAGCCGCCAUUGCCACAGCGGCCUAGACCGUCACCACCAGCCAAGUCCGCCGAAUGCACCGACGAGAAGUCACAGCCGCUUCCUCAUGACCGGACCGGAGUUCAUCCCAGCCGAACCACCCGUCUUCCACAAGCUCGCCGGCUAUCCUCAUCAGCGCCGGCUGCAUCCUCACCAAGCUCGCAGAUCUGUCUUGCCGGUGGUUUUCACCUCACCAGCCGUCCAUCUCUAUCGCGAGCUUGCCGACCAACUUCAUCCUCGUCAAGCCGUCGCCCACAGGCCGAACAGCCCGCCGUCCAUCACAACUUCUCCUUGCUCGCCUCCUUUGUUAAUUACAAACUUGUAUCAGUUUAUAUAUAUUUAUAUAUAUAUAUAUAUAUAUAUAUAUAUAUAUAUAUAUAUAUAUAGCCUAAUGGUCACUGUUUGGGUGCAAAUGUAAAGCUAUUCUAGUUUUGGAUUAGUCCAGAACUAAACCCGCUUGGUAACCUCAUUUGAGAACUGGUUCUGUGGUAACCCAGUUCGGGAAAAAAAAAAAAAAAAAAAUUAUAUUGCCGAUUUGAAUUGGGGACUCAUUUUGGAGCAUUCAAAGCUUUGUCUUCCGAGGUAGCUUGGUCUUCCAAGAACCGAAGAAAUCAGGCUCUUAGGUCGGCAAAGUUCUUCCCAGCAUUCCAUUUUUCAAGGCUAACGGUGAAAUAAAGGCUUUCAAAGAUCGGUUGCCGCUCAAUGCCACAAAAUUCAGCAGACUCAUCAGCCGGGCAUUUCAAACAUCUCAGGCCUUAUCAGACGCGAAUCUCUCUAAUCAGAUAAGUUUCCUAACUUUAAUUUUACAGUUAAGAUUAAGCUUUUCGUGCUAAAAAUCUUUAUUAAAAAUUAAAUACAUAUUAAAUAUAUAUAUAUAUAUAUAUAUAUAUAUAUAUAUAUAUAUAUAUAUUUACGCAUGCUCAUUAUACAUAAAGAUUUAUGACUCGGCUCAAAUUGCAUAUUCAGUAUACUCUAUUGAGUAAAAUAUAAAAAAGAGACCACCUGAAUUUCUGUCUCUGUCAACACUCAACAAAUUCUUUAAUCUCUUUUUCUUUGAUUAUAAUCCUCUACGGAUUCAUCCAUCUCUCCCUCAUCGAGGAUUUUUAGCAUUGCAAUUUUAUUUUUAUCCACUAGUUGUUUUGCUCACGAUUCACUUUGAUCAAAAUUUUAGAUUAUAUCCAUUCGUUGUUCACUGAAGGUUGAUAAUUGGUCAAAACCUUAGGACCACAAUACUUAAUAUUGUUGGUUCAGACUCUUCAGAGAGAUGCACUACUUCAUCACUACUCAACUAAAAGAAGAUUUUGAUCCUCUACAUUGACUUCUGAAAUUUAUACUUGAAUGAAGAUCAGAGGCCAAAGGCAUUGUUGAAUGCACGAGUUAUACUAUUUUGUCUGUUGCUCGAAAUCCUAAAAUAUUACAUACAUUGAAUAAUUUCAAUGUACUUGAUAAACAAAAACGAGUAAAUACUUAUUGCUAAUUAGAAUUUCUGAUACGUAAGAAGUUCUUAAAAUUCUUUCUUUCCUUUAUCAGUUGCUAUAUGCUACGUGUAAUCAUUUUACAUGCUUCUGGUAACUUUAUUUAUGAAUAACUUUGUAUUUACUCCGUAUUCGUAUGCUAAUUAAUAUUUGAGUUGAUUUCUUUUCUGUGCAUUGCAAGACAGAUUGAUCCCCAAGUGUAGUGGCGAAUAGACCAACUAUGCAGCUAUGCUAUAUAUGGCCUCAAAACGCCAAAAAAAAAAAAAAAAAAAAAAAAAAACCCUCGAACCUCAAGAGUUCGACGGCAUCAAAAACUCUCAAGGCACAAAGCCGAGGGACAACAAAGUCUCGGACCUCAGGAGUCCGUAGGCACCAAAAAGCAAAAUUUCCUCUAAGGCACACAGAACUGCCGAGGAAUAAAAUUUAUCUUCGGACCUCAAGAGUCCGCAGAUUUCAAAAUUCCUUUAAGGAAUAAAAUUCAUCUUCGGACCUCAAGAGUCCGCAGAUUUCAAACUUCCUCUAAGGCACACAGAGCUGCCGAGGAAUAAAAUUCAUCUUUGUACCUCAAGAGUCUACAGAUUUCAAACUUCCUCUAAGGCACACAGAACUGCCGAGGAAUAAAAUUUAUCUUCGGACCUCAAGAAUCCGCAGAUUUCAAAAUUCCUCUAAGGAAUAAAAUUCAUCUUCGGACCUCAAGAGUCCGCAGAUUUCAAACUUCCUCUAAGGCCUACAGAACUGCCGAGGAAUAAAAUUUAUCUUCGGACCUCAAGAGUCCGCAGAUUUCAAAAUUCUUCUAAGGAAUAAAAUUCAUCUUCGGACCUCUAGAGUCCGUAGAUUUCAAACUUCCUCUAAGGCACACAGAGCUGCCGAGGAAUAAAAUUUAUCUUCGGACCUCAAGAGUCCGUAGAUUUCAAACUUCCUCUAAGCACACACAGCUGCCGAGGAAUAAAAUUCAUCUUCAAGAGUCCAAGGAUUUCAAAAUUCCUCUAACGCAUAAUGAGCUGCAACGAGGAAUAAAAUUUCAUGAAAGUUACCUCAAAUACGUCUAAAGUUAAUUUUUCAUGAAAAAAUUCUCUAAGGUACAAAACAGUGCCGAUUAAAAAUUACAUGAAAAUUACCUCGAACUCAAAUACGUCGAAGGUUAAAUUUUCAUUUAAACUCCUCCAAAGCACAAAGAGUGCCGAUGCGUAUAGUUACAUGAAAAUUAUCUACAUCGCAGCCAUCAAACAAGACAUAUUUUUCUUUCCUUCAUAGGGGCAAUACCUUCCAUAAUGGGGGCAAUAUAAGCAGCCCUAAAGGGAUAUUAAAAAAAGAAAACAUAUUCUCUCUUUUUUAAGCCCAGAUUAUUUGGCCUAAAUACAGUUCCUCUCAGGUUCAGAGCCGAGGAACUUACUACCUCGGACCUCAAGAGUCCGAUACAUUACAGUUCCUCUCAGGCCAAUAGCCAAGAAACUUAGUACCUCGGACCUCAAGAGUCCGAUACAUUACAGUUCCUCUCAGCUCAUAGCCGAGGAACUUAUUACCUCGGAUCUCGAGAGUCCGAUAAAUUAUAGUUCCUCUCAGCUCAUAGCCGAGGAACUUAUUACCUAGGACCUCGAGAAUCCGAUACAUUACAGUUUCUCUCAGCUCAUAGCCGAGGAACUUAUUACCUCGGACCUCCAGAGUCUAGUACAUUAUAGUUCUUCCCAGGCUCAUGGCCGAGGAACUUAGUACCUCAGACCUCGAGAGUCCAGUACAUUACAGUUUCUCUCAGGCUUAUGGCUGAGGAACUACAUGCCUCGGACCUCCAGAGUCCGGUACAUUACAGUUCCUCUCAGACUCAUGGCCGAGGAACUACACGCUUCGGACCUCAAGCAUCCGGUACAAAACUGUUCUUCUUAGGCUCAUGGCCGAGAAAUAAACAUUCGCCUUCAGACCUCAGGAGUCCGAGUACCUCAAAGUUUCUUUAAGGCACAAAAGUGCCGCAAAACAAAAUGACAUGAAAAUUACCUCGAACUCAAAGAAAUCGACGGUUAAAGUUUUCAUAUCAAAUCCUCUGAAGCACAGAGUAGUGUCGAGGGUAUAAAUUACCUCGGAAUGCUAAUCAGGAAAGUUGAAGCUAAUUGUUCAAGAAAAACACUAUGUUGAUCUCCAGGAUGAUCAUUAAAAAUGAUCACCAUCAUUAUUCAUUAAGGCUAGUCACCCAAGCUAAUCGCCAAGAGUGAUCGUCGUCAAUCUGAAAAAAUAAAAGCGCCAAUAGCUUGAACAGAAGAAGGCUCAACAUAAGACGCCACCUCUGAGCAUGGGGGAACCUCAACUACAACCUCCUCAGAAGCCUUGAUUUUGGAUCUUCGUAUUUUCCAAGAAGACAAAUAUAAGUCACUGCCUUCAAGGCAUACUGUCUCAAUUUUUCAAUUUCCUCUAGUUAUGACUGCCACGUCAAACUAAAGGGAAUUGGGGGCAAAGUGUGGAGGGAAAAAAUCCCCUCCAAUAAGAAUAUUCCACGUUAUCACAGAUGUAAAUCUAUCUGUCAAAGGCCCGUCAUGCUCAAGCCCAAAUUGAGUGUAUUUUUAGCCCAAGACCACUGUUAUCUGUCUUCCAACCUCCAUCAAGGCCGAAUCAAAAGGUCAUCAGUCCAACUUUUUAAUAUUUAACUUCCGGCCCGUUAUUCAAGCCCAGCCGGAUCAAAGUAUGUUCAGCCCAGUUAUUCAAGAAUGCACAAGUCCUACCAGUUGAAGGAUUUACCAUAGAAGGAAAAUUCUGAGAUAAGAAGUUCUGUACAAGGCAAGUUCUAUGCAUGGAAAAUUAGACAAUGGAAAGAACUCUAUUAGUAAAGAAUGUUUAUAUAGAAAGAAUUGGAGGACAAGCAACGCGAGUCCUACCAUAAUUCUACAAUCUUUUGUAUAUAAAUAGAGGCUUAGACCUCCAAUAAAGAGAUCAAUCAAUUCUACGCUUCUCUAUAUACUGUUCUUGUUUAUUUUUAUUAUUUGUUGAGUGAGUUGUUUUAUUUCUCUUAAUCAUUAUUGGUUGGGUGAAAUUUUGCACCUACAGUGGGAGAGGCCGUGGCUUUUUUUGGUGGUUAUGGCAACAACGGUGGGUAAGGGAUUUAAGGGCAGAUUGGUGGUGGUGGUGGAGGAUUGGUGGUGGGUUUGUUAGGGUUAGACCUGCCAUGGUGGUUGUUCAUUGCACAGAGAUCGGAGGAGGAAAGAGAAGGUUGGGUUGUAUAAUCCUAACCCUAUUUAGGGUAUUUACUAUAUCAUUAGCCCAAACAAAGUAGCGUGUGUUGUCUUUUAUUACUCAAAACGACGUAGUUUUGGUUAAUGUUUAUUUGGGUAAUUUUAAUUUUUUCAAUUUUAUUAUUAUUAUUAUUGAAUAAAGAAUAUUGGGGGGUGUUUUCGUAUUUUUACCUACUCUUCUGACAAAAAGUCUUUAUUUGCAACUUUUUAAAACUAGGGGAGUGACGUUUGAACAACAGGAGUGUUAUUUGCACAUUUUAAAAAAUACAGGCUGUUUUUUGUACUUGACCCGAAUUUUUAAUCAAUAUAUGCAUGUUUGAAAUCGAUAUUUGCAAUCAAUUCAAUAAAAAAGAGGGAACGAGAAGAAAUUUUAUGUGUGAUAUUGAAAUAAAAUCUCACCAGAAAAUUCACCAAUUGUCAGGAUGAGACAUAAUUGCUAAGUUUGAGGUGGAAGCUAUAGUUUUAUUUUUUUCAGUGCUUUGUCAAUAGUUUACUAAUUCUCUUCGACAAUCUCGUGGGAUAUCUGAUUUUACCACUUAUUGCUUCUUUCACUAUAUUGAUUUCCUUCUAUUUUAGUUAUCAUUGCUGUUGUGUUGGUAAAUGUUGUCAUUUCUUACAUAAUUUUGGCUAUUUGUCUACAAUCUACUGCUUUGUUGGACCUUCAAUUAUAGUUGUCUUUGAUAUUUGUUUAUUAGGUUUUAAUUUAUAUCGCAAAUGACUAGAAAUAAACUGCUGUUUCCACUCACAUGAAUAAGAGCGUAAGUGGCUUUGCAUCUGAUGGAGUUUGAUUUCAGAUAUCAUUUGGUUUUUGUGUUAUUAAGAAAAGUAUACUGCAUUUAAUAUUGGAAACUGUUAAUGUAGUUUUUAAACUUGAAAGCUUGACUUUGUUUCACAGUAACUUUCAACUAGCAUAAUUUGUUGUCAUUGUUAAGCGUGUAAGGGGAAAUCUAGUAUUUGGUUCUUUUAAUAUCUGCGUCCGUAAAAAAGGGUAGGGUUGAGCGGUGCUCAUUUUCAGUUUUUCUAGUGGGUUGGGCUUUUUUUCAGCAGUAGCACUUCUUCACUUGUGUAUUGCUAGAAUGAUCAAACAUGAGUUUGUGAAUUUGAUUAAUGUAUUUGAAUUCUUUGCAAUUCCUAGUUUAACCUGCUCUUGAUAUGUCCCUCAACUGCUUUUUUUAGUCUUUUCUUUUUGUCUUUGUAAGUUCACUAAUGCAAGUGUGCUAUUCUAUAUAUUUGUUGCUAUUUGGGGUGGAAUGCGCUUGUUUGGAGUGGAUUGCACUUGUGCUUUUAUAUUUAAGUCUUCCAACGCUGACGAUGUUGCUGGACUUGGAAGAGAGGGGACAACUUUGAAAUUUUUUCAGUUUGCCUCUUGUAAUAAAUGGUUAAUUCAGGAUCUAUGUAUAGAGAGAUGGGACAACUUUGUGUACAAUUUUAAUAUUGGUUGGAUUGUUAAUUAUAGACAA